rnacentral:rRNA from 1 species
AGUGAACGCUGGCGGUAUGCCUAACACAUGCAAGUCGAACGGCAGCACAGUAAGAGCUUGCUCUUACGGGUGGCGAGUGGCGGACGGGGGAGGAAUACAUCGGAAUCUACUUUUUCGUGGGGGAUAACGUAGGGAAACUUACGCUAAUACCGCAUACGACCUACGGGUGAAAGCAGGGGAUCUUCGGACCUUGCGCGAUUGAAUGAGCCGAUGUCGGAUUAGCUAGUUGGCGGGGUAAAGGCCCACCAAGGCGACGAUCCGUAGCUGGUCUGAGAGGAUGAUCAGCCACACUGGAACUGAGACACGGUCCAGACUCCUACGGGAGGCAGCAGUGGGGAAUAUUGGACAAUGGGCGCAAGCCUGAUCCAGCCAUACCGCGUGGGUGAAGAAGGCCUUCGGGUUGUAAAGCCCUUUUGUCGGGAAAGAAAAGCAGCAGGUUAAUACCCCGCUGUUCUGACGGUACCCAAAGAAUAAGCACCGGCUAACUUCGUG